rnacentral:rRNA from 1 species
CCUACGGGCGGCUGCAGUGGGGAAUAUUGGACAAUGGGGGCAACCCUGAUCCAGCCAUGCCGCGUGUGUGAAGAAGGCCCUCGGGUUGUAAAGCACUUUCAGUGAGGAAGAACGCCUGGUGGUUAAUACCCAUCAGGAAAGACAUCACUCACAGAAGAAGCACCGGCUAACUCCGUGCCAGCAGCCGCGGUAAUACGGAGGGUGCGAGCGUUAAUCGGAAUUACUGGGCGUAAAGCGCGCGUAGGUGGCUUGAUAAGCCGGUUGUGAAAGCCCCGGGCUCAACCUGGGAACGGCAUCCGGAACUGUCAAGCUAGAGUGCAGGAGAGGAAGGUAGAAUUCCCGGUGUAGCGGUGAAAUGCGUAGAGAGCGGGAGGAAUACCAGUGGCGAAGGCGGCCUUCUGGACUGACACUGACACUGAGGUGCGAAAGCGUGGGUAGCAAACAGGAUUAGAUACCCCGGUAGUC